rnacentral:misc_RNA from 1 species
AUAUUUGUUCAAAAAUUGAAAAUGAGUUGAAAAGCCACAAGAAACAUUUUAUGGCCAACAUCACUCAAAAAUUUUAUAUGCAGAAUUUAUUAUUGAUUUUUGCUUGCUCUCUAAAGGCUAAAAGAAAAUGCAUGACACAACCAACAAGUGGUCAGAUCAAGGGUUCAAAUCCUGGAGUUGUCGUUGUUGGGAGGGCUUUACCUAAAUACCACUCCCGGCCAAGCAUGAGAAAACAACAUACUUAAAAUCAUAAAAUCAAAAAAGAAAAUGCAUGACACAGGCUUUUCUUGACCUAGCAAUCAAAAUAAGAUAACUGAGACUUACGUGACAUCUCCAAAAUCACAAAAU